ensembl:lncRNA
UAAACAAAAGUGUUUAAUGAUACCUUUUUAACGUGGGAGGGGAAUUUGUAACCUUCACCUCAAUUAACACUCGCAUUACACACGCAGGGCCUCGCGCCGCAUCCGGUUCCUUGAACGUCUACUCGUCCCUCCCUCGUCAUUACCUCUUUUCAUGUAUGUUUUUGCGAUCCGAGGGGGACGGGAAAGACAACACUGGCCCGUAGUUUUUAAUUGGCUGACUAGAAAGCCAACCGUACCUUUUUUGAGGUGUGAUGGUUAGAGGAGCACUAGUUGAGUCCCAGAGACUUACGAAGCCGUAGCCGAGUGAUUGAUCGCACAAUGAGGAGUGGAUGGAGCUCAUUGAUCCGCUGUCAUCACUGCGGGCUGGUUUCAACACACAGAUAACGACUUUCACCUUUUGGGUAAAUAUCUGCAAAGCAAUAGAUGUGAGUGUAAAAAUAAAAGUGUUUUGUUUCAUUGUUCAUUCAUACAGAUGCAACAUUUUCCUUUUCUCAAUAUCUUCCGGAUUGAUUUUACUUUCACACUGCAAACGCUGUCCACUUCUGAUGAGCUUGUUCUGUGUUUGUGUUUUUAUUGCAGAUUUUAUUCAUGAACAAGAUCGACCUUUUUCAAGACAAGAUUUUACACUCUGGGCGACAUCUGCGUUUGUACCUGCCACAGUUCAAAGGUGCAGACUGCGACGUGGACUCGUCCGCCCGCUUCAUCGCCGCCACCUUCCUCUCGCUCAACGCCGCUCCCAGCAAACUCGUCUACCACCACUUCACCACGGCCACGGACACCUCCAACGUCGAGGUCGUCUUCGAGGUGGUUAUGGACACCAUAGUCAAAGAGAACCUGGAGGCCGUGUCUCUCCUGUAACGGCCGGCGGAGGUCCGUCGCUCCAUUGGGCCGUUCGGCACCGGAUGGCUCGUUAUAAACGACAUGAAGAUCACGAGCUCCAGACACUUGUUUUCUCUGUGCAGGUGCAGCUUGGAGCUCUGACGCUCUUCUCCUGUGAUGCUUGA